rnacentral:rRNA from 1 species
UACGUAGGGUGCAAGCGUUGUCCGGAAUUAUUGGGCGUAAAGAGCUCGUAGGCGGUCUGUCGCGUCUGCUGUGAAAACUCAGGGCUUAACCCUGAGCUUGCAGUGGGUACGGGCAGACUAGAGUGCGGUAGGGGAGACUGGAAUUCCUGGUGUAGCGGUGAAAUGCGUAGAUAUCUGGAGGAAUACCGGUGGCGAAGGCGGCAUCCUGGACCGGCAUUGACGCUGAUGAGCGAAAGCUAGGGGAGCAAACGGG